rnacentral:rRNA from 1 species
GCUUAACACAUGCAAGUCGAGGGGCAUCAGGAAGAAAGCUUGCUUUCUUUGCUGGCGACCGGCGCACGGGUGAGUAACACGUAUCCAACCUGCCCUUUACUCGGGGAUAGCCUUUCGAAAGAAAGAUUAAUACCCGAUAGCAUAAUGAUUCCGCAUGGUUUCAUUAUUAAAGGAUUCCGGUAAAGGAUGGGGAUGCGUUCCAUUAGGUUGUUGGUGAGGUAACGGCCCACCAAGCCUUCGAUGGAUAGGGGUUCUGAGAGGAAGGUCCCCCACAUUGGAACUGAGACACGGUCCAAACUCCUACGGGAGGCAGCAGUGAGGAAUAUUGGUCAAUGGGCGCUAGCCUGAACCAGCCAAGUAGCGUGAAGGAUGAAGGCUCUAUGGGUCGUAAACUUCUUUUAUAUAAGAAUAAAGUGCAGUAUGUAUACUGUUUUGUAUGUAUUAUAUGAAUAAGGAUCGGCUAACUCCGUGCCAGCAGCCGCGGUAAUACGGAGGAUCCGAGCGUUAUCCGGAUUUAUUGGGUUUAAAGGGAGCGUAGGUGGACUGGUAAGUCAGUUGUGAAAGUUUGCGGCUCAACCGUAAAAUUGCAGUUGAUACUGUCAGUCUUGAGUACAGUAGAGGUGGGCGGAAUUCGUGGUGUAGCGGUGAAAUGCUUAGAUAUCACGAAGAACUCCGAUUGCGAAGGCAGCUCACUGGACUGCAACUGACACUGAUGCUCGAAAGUGUGGGUAUCAAACAGGAUUAGAUACCCUGGUAGUCCACACAGUAAACGAUGAAUACUCGCUGUUUGCGAUAUACAGUAAGCGGCCAAGCGAAAGCAUUAAGUAUUCCACCUGGGGAGUACGCCGGCAACGGUGAAACUCAAAGGAAUUGACGGGGGCCCGCACAAGCGGAGGAACAUGUGGUUUAAUUCGAUGAUACGCGAGGAACCUUACCCGGGCUUAAAUUGCAGUGGAAUGAUGUGGAAACAUGUCAGUGAGCAAUCACCGCUGUGAAGGUGCUGCAUGGUUGUCGUCAGCUCGUGCCGUGAGGUGUCGGCUUAAGUGCCAUAACGAGCGCAACCCUUAUCUUUAGUUACUAACAGGUUAUGCUGAGGACUCUAGAGAGACUGCCGUCGUAAGAUGUGAGGAAGGUGGGGAUGACGUCAAAUCAGCACGGCCCUUACGUCCGGGGCUACACACGUGUUACAAUGGGGGGUACAGAAGGCAGCUAGCGGGUGACCGUAUGCUAAUCCCAAAAUCCUCUCUCAGUUCGGAUCGAAGUCUGCAACCCGACUUCGUGAAGCUGGAUUCGCUAGUAAUCGCGCAUCAGCCACGGCGUGGUGAAUACGUUCCCGGGCCUUGUACACACCGCCCGUCAAGCCAUGGGAGCCGGGGGUACCUGAAGUACGUAACCGCAAGGAUCGUCCUAGGGUAAAACUGGUGACU